AAGAGACCAAGAAGGUUACUAUCUAAUGAUAAAGGGUUUAUCUUAGCAAGAGGACAUAACAAUUUUAAAUAUAUAUGCACCCAACAAUAGAGAACCCA